ACAGCUUCUCGAAUCUCCGACCAUUGGCGUUGUCGGUAACUAUGGAAACCAGCAGCGAUUGGUGAGUUAUCAAGUGAGCAAACCUAACGGCCAACCUAAAGGUCAAAUCACCUUUUCUUACCAGUUUGUCGAUAAGGAUGCGCCGCCACCACCAGUUCCUGGCCCGCCUAAACUUGAUGAGGAACCUGUUACCGCAUAUCCGGCAGUGGGGCCCAGCUUAGCGUAUCCACCUCCAUCUCCAGGAGGAGUAUAUCCUCCUUAUCCAGUUGACCAUGGAACAGGGCUGUACCCACCACCACCAUCACCUGGAGGAUAUCCUCCACCGCCGCCGCCAGCGGGGUAUGGCGGGUACCCACCUCCAUUGUCUUAUGGCGCGUACCCACCUCCACCACCACCGCCAGGAUAUGGAUAUCCACCCCAGUCCGGGUACGGAUAUCCAGCUGUGCAAAGGCCACCAAAGAAGAACAAUUUCGGUUUAGGAGUAGGAGCUGGAUUAUUAGGUGGAUUUUUGGUCGGCGAUAUGAUUUCUGAUGUUGGAGAUUCUGGUUUCGAUGGUGGAUUUGAUUUUUGAUCCAUUUCUUCCUUUUCUUUUCUUUUCUUUUCAUUUUUUUUCUUACUUGUAAUUAAUCACUUAAUCUUGGAGUAUGAUAUAUGAAUCUUGUUACCUUUUAUAUUAAUUUUCGUUUUCUAAUGGAUAUUUGGUUGUGCGCAUUGGGUUGUUUAUUUAUUCUCGAGAGAGGAAUAAAAGCAUUAGUGAAAUACAUCUCGUUGAGAGUUUGUGGUAGUUUGAAGAUGUUGGGAUCUUUGGAGUUCAAUCAAACAAUAAUCAUCAAUCAAUAAAGGAUUUCAAGCCUAAAUGAAAGAAAAUAAAAUGGAACAUUACAACCCGAUCUCGGCCGAAUCUGGACAGCAACUUCUCCUUGCUCUUAUGGCUGAUUUAGGCUCAGGAACAGCUCCAUGUCAUGCAAAUCACCUUUCACAGAUAGAGAGAGAGAGAGAAAUUGGCAAAGAACCUCAACCUUCUACCAAGUAGCCACCGGACCCACUACCUUCAACCAAGCCAAGGAAGCAAAAAUAGAGAGAGAGAGUCGACUUAAGAAGGGAAGAAACGACCUCUCUGCCAAAAAAUUCUUUUUUUAGACAAUUCAAUUCCAUCUGUGCAAUCAAACGGACUUCUCUAAGAAGUUACAUUUGCAUUGCAAGUUCCUAGUAUUUUGUGAACCAAAUUUGGUCAAAAUAUGACUCUGAAUGUUCUCAACAGAUUCUAGAAGAUACCAAAGACUGCUCCAUUGUUGAAGAAAAUCAAAAACGCCUGUUAAAGCACGCCUUUGCCACUGUCUAAUCACGUGAAAACAUGACUCGUAAACAGUGGAAAAACGGGUUAAUUAUUUAACUUUUUUUCGAUAUGUCACACAAUUUUAAAUUUUAUUUGUCUAAUACCAACUUAACGCAGCUGCCCUAUGUUACAAGUAAAUCUUGUUUGGCCAAUUAUGCAACAACAUCUGAAGCCAACUAAGCUAAAUCGUGCAAGGAAAAUUGCACUAGGAAAAAACCAUUAUUGAAAUCAAUUUAUUAACAUUUAAGAAACCUCACAUUCCAGUCAAAUUCGACUAUUGAGAAACCUAACUUUUAUUUUUCCUUUCAAAGCCUAAUAGUUUCUUUAAUCUUUGAUCACAAACCCUGGUUCCUGUAUGAAUUGGGUGUAAAUUUGUGGACUUCAAUUCUAAGUGUUAAAAAUUAGAAUUAAGCUUGGUGUACAGGCUCUAUUCACAGGUCUCACACAUGACGUGCCUCAUUAAAAAAAUAAUCCACAAAUACCCACCCCGUAUAUGUGUAGCCUGUGGAGGUUCAAUAACGCCAUGUUUGGCACCUAUUUUUAUCAAAAUGUAUUUUUCUCUCUCUUCUUUUCAACCACACAUUCUUUAUUAAAAUAAUAUUACACGUAAAUCAAAAACUUUUUCUUAUUUUUCAACCACACAUUUCCCAUCAACUUACUAUUCAAAAAUGUAUUUUCACAUAAAAAAUUCUACCAAACACCCUCUAAAACUCCCCUGAUAGUGCAGCACAACCCUAAUUAGCUUGUCAUUUUGUUUUGAAGAAUAGGUUUUCAAUAUACAUAGCUGACACGUUGGAGUUCUAUGUGCAUAUUAACCAAAACCUCAAGGCAUUCUUCAAGUCAACCAUAGUUACUUCUUACCUUUGAUAAACGAAGGCACCAGGUAAUGGCGUAACGUGUUUAACACUAACAUAAAUAGUUUAUUCUCUGCGUAUACUUUGAUUCAUCAUUGGCCAUUUCUCUCUCUCUCUCUCUCUCAAGUUAAGUUCUUCAAUUCUAGAAAACCAUAAACAGGGAAGCCUCUUCAAUUUCUUGGAUUUUCUCUCAUCGUUAUGGAUCAUCGGGCGUUGGAAAUUAUUUCUAUGUCCGGUAAAGAUCUCAAUAGAGUCAAUCUCAUCACGAAGAUGGCGGUGUACGCGGUGGUUUCAAUUUCCGGCGGGGACAAAAAAUCGAAGCAGACUACGAAGACGCCGGUGGAUAGAGACGGCGACACCAGCCCCACAUGGAUUUUUCCUAUGAAGUUCACGGUGGAUGAGGUGGCGCUCCGGCAGAACCUCCUAACUCUUGAUUUCAAGCUUGUUUGUGAGCGUAAGUUAGGCGAUAAAGAUAUUGGUGAAGUCCAUGUUCCCAUCAAACAGCUUCUCGAAUCUCCGACCAUUGGCGUUGUCGGUAACUAUGGAAACCAGCAGCGAUUGGUGAGUUAUCAAGUGAGCAAACCUAACGGCCAACCUAAAGGUCAAAUCACCUUUUCUUACCAGUUUGUCGAUAAGGAUGCGCCGCCACCACCAGUUCCUGGCCCGCCUAAACUUGAUGAGGAACCUGUUACCGCAUAUCCGGCAGUGGGGCCCAGCUUAGCGUAUCCACGUCCAUCUCCAGGAGGAGUAUAUCCUCCUUAUCCAGUUGACCAUGGAACAGGGCUGUACCCACCACCACCAUCAC
rnacentral:lncRNA from 1 species